UAUCUAGCUUGUGCUCGUUGCUCUAGCACAGGUUCUCUUAUUUUAGCUGAACCAGUCUCAACUAUUGCUGGUGGGAGUCAUUCGCAGUCACCGCCCAAGACUGAAAGAUGUUCAAACUGUUCAGGUGCCGGAAAGGUGAUGUGCCCGACAUGUUUGUGCACAGGCAUGGCUAUGGCGAGUGAGCAUGACCCUCGGAUCGAUCCCUUCGACUAAAUUCUACAACACUAUCUACUUCUGUCAGUGUAACUAAAAAUGGUAUGUAUUGAUGAAUAUUUAUAACUGCAUCUUUUCACCUGUACAUACACGCACAAGUGAAGUUUAGAUACAAUGUUAGUACUGUCUUCCCAGAACAACCUAGCUACACUGUACCAGAUAAACCAACAACUCGAAACUGGCAUGCUGUGUACGUCUUGUGGAGUUGUGACAUCAAACGGCAUUUCCGUUUCAAUGAGAAGCAGAAAAAGGAUGGAACCAUGUGUGUAUGUGUGGUUCAAGCUUCCCAGCCACGCAAGGUAGUGGCGCGAGUAGCUUGUUUUAAACACCAUGAGUGAAAACUCCCAUACGGAGGGUGCAGGAAUGAGAAUGUUAAAACUUGAUGUUGUGUAAGGCACCAGCCAUGUACUUGCUGUAUCUCUGUUUUGCGUAAAUGUCUUGGAAGUAACAGAGUCUGCACAUAGACACAAGAGGAAGGGAACUUUAGAUACCAAACUGUUUGAGUAACAUAUCAGAACAGAAAACAGAGUAAUAAAAUUCCUAUCCUGGUCUGCUUCUGGAUCUGUUGGAUGGUUUGCAGCCUCUA